AUGCGCAACGGUGAGGGGACCGGCGGCAGAACAUCGGGGGACAUCGUGGAGGCCGGUGGCGGCGUGCACGAGAGAGUCCACGGCCACGGGCCGCGGUUCGUGGAGCCCGUGUCCGCGUCGAGCGGGUUGCAGGCGCCGCACGAUGGCAGCGACGACCACGACGACGACUACCCCUGCGUCGAGGUCACCCUCGACGUUAGGGACGACUCGGUGGUGGUGGUGAAACAGGAGGCGCUGGACAAGCGCCCGCCCUCGUACGGCCACGGCGUGCUCCGGGACGCCUCGGCGCGGGUCGAGCAGGCGCCGCAGGAGCUCCGGCAGCUCACGGCCUCAAGCGAGCAGGGACAAGGAGGCGCCCCGAGCUGCGUCGGUAGGUCCAUGACCGCCACCGCGCACUUGCUCAAGUUCCUCAGCCGGGUUGACGCCUCCGCCGGUUGGGCCGCCGUUGAGAGGCGCUUCGACGAAGAAGCCAAGGAUGGCCUCCUCCACCGAUCCAAGUUCGCCAAGUGCAUCGGGACGAAGGAGCUCGCGUUCGCCGGCGAGCUGUUCGACGCACUGGCAAGGCGUCGGCACAUCUCCGGAGAGAGCGUCAGCAAGCCGGAGCUGCUCGAGUUUUGGGACCAAAUUUCCGACCGCAGCGUCGAUGGCCGCCUGCAAAUCUUCAUGGAUAUCCGAAGCCCCCAUACCCUUCCAAAUGCCUGGACGGGUUGCCUGCUGCUGGAGCAGAUCCAGGCGAGGCGGGCUACUCAUUUUGCCAUAGGCCUUCCUCCGAAUCCGUCGGAGCCAUCAGAGGAUGAGGAGGAGCAGGAGCAGGAGGAGGAGGACGGGGAGCAGCCGCCGGAAGCCGAGCCUAUGAAGAAGGAGGCGACAGAGCUGGAGGAGGAGGAGGUGGAGAAGGAGGAGGAGGUUGUGGGCUUUGCCACGGCGGGCACAGAGGCGGAGUACGAGGCCACCCAAGUGAUAGAGAUGGUGGAGCAAACCGUCAUCCUCGAGUCCAUUCAGGACGAGGCCUACGUGAGGCCAACCAGCGGUUCAUCUAGCAAGAACAGGACUGACAAUGACGGUGACGGGAGAAUCCUCGAGGAGGACAUCAAAGAGAUGAUCAUGCUGAGCGCGAAUGCAAACAAACUAACCAUGGACACACAACAGUCCCAAAAGUACGCCCGGCUCAUGAUGGAGGAGCUGGACCCUGACGACCUCGGCCACAUCCAGUUGUUCGAGCUGGAGAGUCUCCUGCUGCAGACGGCGAAGCCGACCGGAACAGCCCUCAGCAGCAAACUGAGCCUGCACCUCCACCCGAGGGCGGCGGAGCCCAGCACGCUCCGGCGGUGGUACAGGCGUGCUCGCUACUCCCUGGGGGGCAACUGGCGCCGGCAGGCCCUGUACGCGUGCGACCGAAUGGCGCGGCCGCUCCGGUGCAGCGCGCGGUCGGUGGACAUACUGGAGGUGGCCGUGUACCCUGACCCUGCGAGCGCGCUGUCGCUGCGCUUCAACAAGCCGCUGGGGUUCAGUUACAAGAGCGGGCAGUACAUCUUCUUCAAUUGUCCUGCCGUCUCACGAUCCCAGUGGCACCCGUUCUACAUCACGUCGGCGCCACGGGACGAGCACCUCAGUGUCCACAUCAGGACGCUCGGUGAUUGGACCAAGGAGCUCCACAACGUCUUCCUAAAGGUUUGCCCGACACCAAUAGAGGAGAAGAGCGAGAUGAUCCGGGUGGAGUAUGGCCUUGACAGCUCGUCCAAUCCGAGGGAUGGCGAAUCUAGCACCCCCCAAACUUGUCGUUCCUACUUCUACUGGAUCACCCGGGAGCAAGCCUCCUUUGAGUGGUUUCGUGGAUUCAUGGACGAGAUGGUGGAGAUGGGGAAUGAGGGUGUCAUCGAGCUCCAUAACUACUGCAGCAACGUCUACGAGGAGGGCGACAACCGGUCGGCGCUCAUCUCCUUGCUCCAGUCCCUUAACCACGCCAAGCACGGCGUCGACGUGGUCUCCGGUGCUCGCGUCAAGACCCAUUUCGGCCGACCAAACUGGCGGGGUGUCUAUGAGCGCAUUGCCCUCAGGCACAGUGAACAACGCGUUGGAGUAUUCUACUGUGGCACGCCGGUGCUGACAAAAGAGUUGAGCGAGCUUGCCCAUGAUUUCUCGAGAAAGACCAGCACAAAGUUUGAGUUUUAUAAUGCGAACUUCUAG
rnacentral:rRNA from 1 species